AUCUUCGGGGCAAGGUGAAAUUCCAUACCGGCGGUAAAGUCCGCGAGCCUUAUUUUAUAAGAUUGAUUAAUUAUAAAAUAAAGCAGAUUUGGUGAAAUUCCAAAACCGACAGUUAAAGUCUGGAUGGUAGAAGAUU
rnacentral:ncRNA from 1 species